AUGGCUGCUCCCGCUCUCAAGUUCGCCGCCUUCGUCCUCCUGGCCGCGCUCUGUGCGGCCGCGCUGGCCCCGGCCGCGUCGGGGCAGCCGACGGACGCGCUAGCAACGUGCAUCGGGCGCUGCGGGUGUGUGCCCUGCCCGAAAGGGAAGGUCUGCAUCGCUAUUUGCACUCCCCCUCCGCCCUGCGCGGCCAGAUGCCGCUGCACCUAUUCCGGCACGGGCUGCUAG
rnacentral:rRNA from 1 species